rnacentral:rRNA from 1 species
CCUACGGGAGGCAGCAGUGGGGAAUAUUGGACAAUGGGCGAAAGCCUGAUCCAGCCAUGCCGCGUGUGUGAAGAAGGUCUUCGGACUGUAAAGCACUUUAAGCUGGGAGGCGUUACCGGCAGAAUAAGCACCGGCUAACUCUGUGCCAGCAGCCGCGGUAAUACAGAGGGUGCAAGCGUUAAUCGGAAUUACUGGGCGUAAAGCGCGCGUAGGUGGUUUGUUAAGUUGAAUGUGAAAUCCCCGGGCUCAACCUGGGAACUGCAUCCAAAACUGGCAAGCUAGAGUAUGGUAGAGGGUGGUGGAAUUUCCUGUGUAGCGGUGAAAUGCGUAGAUAUAGGAAGGAACAUCAGUGGCGAAGGCGACCACCUGGACCAAACUGACACUGAGGUGCGAAAGCGUGGGGAGCAAACAGGAUUAGAUACCCUUGUAGUC